CAAAUACCACGAUACUCGAAAGUAAACCUCAAAUACUUAUCAAUGUUGUUGUAGAAAAGGCCACUGUGAAAGAAUGCGACCACCACCUCCAGGGCCAGGCUUUCUUGGUGGUUUGUGCAAUUGCAUAGCAUCUUGGUUAGUGGUGACUACACUGCAUUCAGACGUGGGAAAUGAGUAUAUUUGUUACAACACUUCUUGGUGAUGUCAAAGUUAAUGCAUUACAUUCAUUCUUGUAUGGCUGAACAUUGACAUUUACUCUUAAAUCUCAAUGGUCUUGAUUCUUGAAUGUGCUUCUAAUCUCGUUGUUGUAAAGGAUUCAUUGGUCAGUUUGCUAUUAUCAAUAUCUUCUUAAUUUUUAUUGGUUGGGUUCCAAAAUUUCAUAUAUUACCACCUAAUAUGUGUCUCGUGUACAUCUUGCAACUUGAAAUUGCAGUUUAAGUAUCUUGUGCUGCUGCUGGUAGCUACAAGACUGCUUUGGUGGUCCAAUGCGGCCGCCUGGACCAAUCGGACCGCCUCGGCCUUGAUUAUAAGCUGCUUCUUCAACCUUGCUGAUGCCUCCUGCGUUUACAUGAUUUAUAAUCUACCAGGAAUACCUAAUCAUGUUGUUCUACUGUUUUGAGUGAUAAUGGGGCAACAAUCUUACUUUUGUUAUUAUUAUUAUUACUACUUAGAAAAAAU
rnacentral:lncRNA from 1 species